rnacentral:misc_RNA from 1 species
GAUGAAGAACGUAGCGAAAUGCGAUAAGUAAUGCGAAUUGCAGAAUUCAGUGAAUCAUCGAAUCUUUGAACGCACAUCGCGCCCCUUGGUAUUCCGAGGGGCAUGCCUGUUCGAGCGUCAUUAUAACCCCUCAAGCUCAGCUUGGUGUUGGGGCCUGCUGCACUGGCAGCCCUUAAAAUCAGUGGCGGCGCCAUCUGGCUCUAAGCGUAGUAAUUCUUCUCGCUAUGGAGUCCUGGUGGAUGCUUGCCAUCAACCCCCAAUUUUUCUAUGGUUGACCUCGGAUCAGGUAGGGAUACCCGCUGAACUUAAGCAUAUCAAUAAGCGGAGGA